CAAUGCCAUUUGGUAUCUGACGCUCAGUCAUCUUUUGUGAUUGUGUGUCUCGAAGCAUGGCAGAAAAUGAGUGGGAACAGAUCUUGCGACACUGGUCACUCCUUCAUGAGCUUCCAGUUACUAUAACCCUGUUUACAUGC